GUAAGCGUGCGCAGCGGUUUUGUAAGUCUGAUGUGAAAUCCCCGGGCUCAACCUGGGAAUUGCAUUGGAGACUGCAAGGCUAGAAUCUGGCAGAGGGGGGUAGAAUUCCACGUGUAGCAGUGAAAUGCGUAGAUAUGUGGAGGAACACCGAUGGCGAAGGCAGCCCCCUGGGUCAAGAUUGACGCUCAUGCACGAAAGCGUGGGGAGCAAACAGGAUUAGAUACCCCGGU
rnacentral:rRNA from 1 species